UACGUAGGGUGCAAGCGUUGUCCGGAAUUAUUGGGCGUAAAGAGCUCGUAGGCGGCUUGUCGCGUCGAAUGUGAAAUCUCAGGGCUCAACUCUGACAUUGCAUUCGAUACGGGCAGGCUAGGAUGUCGGUAGGGGAGACUGGAAUUCCUGGUGUAGCGGUGAAAUGCGCAGAUAUCAGGAGGAACACCGGUGGCGAAGGCGGGUCUCUGGCCGAUACUGACGCUGAGGAGCGAAAGCGUGGGAGCAAACAGG
rnacentral:rRNA from 1 species